rnacentral:rRNA from 1 species
UUCGGGGGACAGGGUGACAGGUGGUGCAUGGUUGUCGUCAGCUCGUGUCGUGAGAUGUUGGGUUAAGUCCCGCAACGAGCGCAACCCUCGACCUUAGUUGCCAGCAUUCAGUUGGGCACUCUAAGGUGACUGCCGGCUAAAAGUCGGAGGAAGGUGGGGAUGACGUCAAAUCAUCAUGCCCCUUAUGACCUGGGCUACACACGUGCUACAAUGGGCGGUACAAAGGGUCGCGAACCCGCGAGGGGGAGCCAAUCCCAAAAAGCCGCUCUCAGUUCGGAUUGCAGGCUGCAACUCGCCUACAUGAAGCCGGAAUCGCUAGUAAUCGCGGAUCAGCAUGCCGCGGUGAAUACGUUCCCGGGCCUU